CCAUGACAUAAGUUCAGAUUCACAGCUGUUAAAAACGGAACUUCUUCAUUUGGUUGCACAAAAUAAACCUCCAAAAACGUAUGUUGCCAUGAAUUGGGCCAACAGAAUGGCCAUAGAGUAUUGCGAUUGCCGCCAUAUCAUUGUGUGUUUAACCCUAUAGAAAAUACUUGGUGAAUUACUACAAAUUUUUAUUCCAAACACAUUGGGCGUGAUGGUUAUGGUCAAAAAAUUCCGUGGAAAUGUGGAAAGAAGCGUUAGCACAUGUCACGCCCACAAUGUGGAAAAAUACUGUUGACCAUAUGAAUAAAAUAAUACGGGAGUGGUGGGAACGGGAAUUAGUAUUUGACCGUGAAGAGAUUGCGCCGUUUAUAAUCGACAUUAACGAAGAUUCACAUUAUAGUUUUAGUGAUUAUGACAGUGAAGAUUCUAAUACUGCAGAGGGCAUUCAGCCACUGUAACAUGUAGGUUAUUUUCCAUUACCAUCCUAAUUGAUUGUACUACCGGCAUGUUCUGCUGAUGUCUUUUAUAAUCACACUAUCACUUCACUGGCCAAAUAUACAAAUCACUGGUCAGACGACGACGUUGUGCAACAUGCAUACUUAUUAUUGUUUAUACUUUACUUUUGUAUCUAUUCCAUGUCAAUAAAGUAACUUAUUCUGUA